rnacentral:rRNA from 1 species
GACGAACGCUGGCGGCGUGCCUAACACAUGCCAGUCGAACGGACAGACGCUGCUCUUGUUGGGCUGUCGUUUGGGGAAGACGUGAGUAAAACGCGUGGAACCCGCCCCUGUCUUUCUGGUAACUUCAGGAAACUGGGGAUAUUACCCCGUAUGAGCUCCUGCUGCACGUGGUGGGUUGGAAAAUUUCGGCGGUUGUGGAUGGACUAGCGGCUUAUCAGCUUGUUGGGGGGGUAGGGGCGGACCCAGGCUUUGACGGGUAGCCGGCCUGAGAGGGUUAACGGCGACAUUGGGACUGAGAUACGGAGCAGACUGCUACGGGAGGCAGCAGUGGGGAAUCUUGCACAAUGGGCGGAAGCCUGAUGCAGCGACGCCGCGUGCGGGAUGACGGCCUUCGGGUUGUAAACCGCUUUCGCCUGUGACGAAGCGUGAGUGACGGUAAUGGGUAAAGAAGCACCGGCUAACUACGUG